rnacentral:lncRNA from 1 species
CAACAAAUUGAAAUGAAGGUGCAAAAUUUCUUAGUUGAAAGCAGGUUCAACCCCAAAGGAAACCAACAUGCCAAACUGUUGCAUAGGUCACUCAGCAAGUCAGAAGAAAUGGUGGCGAGAUAUUCAGUUUGAACCUUAAAGCUGCUAAUUCAAAAUAUACAGUAUUUCGUUUAACGGGACACGGUAUGAUACUCACACCCCCUUUCUAUAAAAGCCAAAACGCAAGACUCUGAAAUCCAUACAGAUGGGAACUACAACAGAACACAAGGUGUAAGAAUGGAAUUACAAGGGACAUCCUAAACCAUAUCCACCAAGUUCCUCCAUUCAAAGAACACAUAAAGUGGUGAAAGUCCGAUAUCUUACCCACUUCUCCUGUGUCAAACUCUAGAAACCCCAUAAAACACAUGAUUAACAUGUUGCCACAAUGCAACCCCCCAUUUAUCCCCCAACUCUGGCUCCACAUAUUGCACCAUUAAGCUGCUUUCCCUCUUUUUAGCAUUUUUUCCUUCAACCGCUACAGCUGAAACAUCCAAGUUCACAUUGAAUAAGAAUGGAUUAAAGGACACUUGCUUCAACUCUGAGUAUGGAUGACCAAGGGCGUAAUAAUGAUGCAAUUGUAGUACCUCGGGUUUUGCAUCAUGACACCCAAAACCUACAUUCCUAGAAACAUACGCUGUUGCACAAAUCAUUC